rnacentral:lncRNA from 1 species
UGUCGGAUCUCACGCAGAGAAGGAAGGCUCGGUCGCCGGAAACCCCCAAGGCAGCCCGGGAGGCAAAUAAGCCGGCCUCCUAUCACUGUGAAAGCAUCAUCCGCCGCCACCGUUUCGCCGCGCCGCCGAUUUACUUUCGAUCGCCGCCGAUUCGCCUUCGGUCGCCGCCGUGCUUCCCGGAAGUCUCGAAAGCAAUUUGCUGCCACCGACCGUGGCCGGAUCCAAGUGAAGGACGUCGCCGCCCCGAUCACUGCCGCACCAGCACCCGCUCCACCGGCGCAACGUCUUCCCGCACCCACCGCCGCAAAAUCAGGCGAGAUCCGGCGGAAGCGGACGGUCGGUCGAAGGUGGAAGACGAUCUACAGUACGGGUAAGGUCUGUACCCGUUAGCCCAUUAACCCAUUAUCCAUUAACCCGAGUCA